AAGUCGUAACAAGGUCUCCGUUGGUGAACCAGCGGAGGGAUCAUUAUCGAGUUUUUACAACUCCCAAACCCACUGUGAACCUUUGAAAACGUUGCUUCGGCGCCGCGUCCUCGCCCCCCGGGCAAGGCGCGCGCCGAGGGCCUCAAACUCUUGUCUUUAUAGAAGCAGUCUGAGUGGCAUUUAUUGCAAACAAAUGAAUCAAAACUUUCAACAACGGAUCUCUUGGUUCUG
rnacentral:misc_RNA from 1 species